GGUAUCUUAGGAUUUGUUUGAAUUUCGGUAUUUCUUGAGUUAAUUAGUUUGAUUUUGAAAUUGUAAGAUUAGUUUAAAGUAAUAUUGAUAUUUUAGGACUAAUAGUUUGAAUUUGGGAUUAGGAAUAGGUAGCUAGUUUGAAUUUAGGAUUUUAGCACUAGUUAGAUUUUGGGAUUUUAGGACUAGUUUGAAUUUGUGAUUUUAAGAGUAGUUUGAAUUUUGAAUUUAGGACUAG
rnacentral:lncRNA from 1 species